AACGAACGCUGGCGGCAUGCCUAACACAUGCAAGUCGAACGAGACCUUCGGGUCUAGUGGCGCACGGGUGCGUAACGCGUGGGAACCUGCCCUUAGGUUCGGAAUAACUCCCCGAAAGGGGUGCUAAUACCGGAUAAUGUCUUCGGACCAAAGAUUUAUCGCCUUUGGAUGGGCCCGCGUUGGAUUAGCUAGUUGGUAGGGUAAAAGCCUACCAAGGCGACGAUCCAUAGCUGGUCUGAGAGGAUGAUCAGCCACACUGGGACUGAGACACGGCCCAGACUCCUACGGGAGGCAGCAGUAGGGAAUAUUAGACACUGGGCGAAAGCCUGAUCCAGCAAUGCCGCGUGAGUGAUGAAGGCCUUAGGAUUGUAAAGCUCUUUUACCCGGGAUGAUAAUGACAGUACCGGGAGAAUAAGCUCCGGCUAACUCCGUG
rnacentral:rRNA from 1 species